rnacentral:rRNA from 1 species
AACGAACGCUGGCGGCAUGCCUAACACAUGCAAGUCGAACGAGAUCUUCGGGUCUAGUGGCGCACGGGUGCGUAACGCGUGGGAAUCUGCCCUUUGGUUCGGAAUAACAGUUGGAAACGACUGCUAAUACCGGAAGAUGACGUAAGUCCAAAGAUUUAUCGCCCAAGGAUGAGCCCGCGUAAGAUUAGCUUGUUGGUGGGGUAAUGGCCUACCAAGGCGACGAUCUUUAGCUGGUCUGAGAGGAUGAUCAGCCACACUGGGACUGAGACACGGCCCAGACUCCUACGGGAGGCAGCAGUGGGGAAUAUUGGACAAUGGGCGAAAGCCUGAUCCAGCAAUGCCGCGUGAGUGAUGAAGGCCCUAGGGUUGUAAAGCUCUUUUACCAGGGAUGAUAAUGACAGUACCUGGAGAAUAAGCUCCGGCUAACUCCGUGCCAGCAGCCGCCGUAA